UACGGGGGGGAGCAAGCGUUGUUCGGAUUUACUGGGCGUAAAGGGCGCGUAGGCGGCCAGCGCAAGUCAGUUGUGAAAUCUCCGGGCUUAACUCGGAAAGGUCAACUGAUACUGCGCGGCUAGAGUGCGGGAAGGGGCAACUGGAAUUCUCGGUGUAGCGGUGAAAUGCGUAGAUAUCGAGAGGAACACCUGCGGCGAAGGCGGGUUGCUGGGCCGACACUGACGCUGAUGCGCGAAAGCCAGGGGAGCGAACGGG
rnacentral:rRNA from 1 species